UUUGUUCAACACUCUUUCAUUCGCAGUCGGACGUUCUUGCAAGUAGGACGUGUUGCGUUGCGCGGUAUCCAAUUCGCGGUGUUCUCAAGUCAAAGUUUACCCCCCUUUGAUUGUUCAGUCGCCGUCGGUCGUCGUGGUGGAGAUACGCCCGCGGAUUCUCUUUUCGCAGUCUCCUCAGGUGGUGGUCAGUCGGGCACCGAGCUUCAUUCUCCAUUCCAAUGAAAAAAGUUGAAUCCAUAGGUGGUGGACGUCGUCUGGCUCUGUAGUGCCACAUUGCCAAUAGGAACAAAGUGUGGCCGCAGAUACAAGUGAUAAGAAAAAUCCACCCGGAAGAUAGCCAUCCGGACGGUGUCGAAGAAGAUUAGUUAAAUUGUGUUCUCAGUGUUGCAACCGUUACAGAUGGGAAUUCCGGUGUGAAUGGAUCGUUGGGUCUCGCUGGAAAAGGAGCCCGGUUCUUGAGAGGCAGCAGUGCCAUCUGCCCUAGAAAGUGCGCGAGUGGCAGAAGUGUGUUCCGGAAGCCGUGCCAGCAAAAAUUUCCGGAGUGAGCGUGCGUACCUAUCCUACCGAAGCGCCAAGCAACGUAGCUUCCGCGGCAGCUGCAGCGAAGAAGAUUCGAAGAAUUCGAAAACCCAAAAUUCAAGUUGAGUGAUCAAAUUUGCUAGUAUCGGAGUAGUGUCCCCCGGGAGACCCAACCGAAGCGUCCAAAAUGACGAAGGACAGAUUAGCAGCGUUACAAGCGGCACAGAGCGACGAGAGGACAUGCCGGAAGAUGUAGGCGUGCCGGUGGAGGGCAGCUUUAUGGGGAUUUUUUCAACGAGGUGGAAGAGAU